rnacentral:tRNA from 1 species
GGCGGGGUAGCUCAGCUGGUGAGAGCGCACGACUCAUAAUCGUGAGGUCGCGGGUUCGAGUCCCGCCCCCGCUA